GAUGAACGCUGGCGGCGUGCCUAAUACAUGCAAGUCGAGCGAACGGACGAGAAGCUUGCUUCUCUGAUGUUAGCGGCGGACGGGCGAGUAACACGUGGAUAACCUACCUAUAAGACUGGGAUAACUUCGGGAAACCGGAGCUAAUACCGGAUAAUAUUUUGAACCGCAUGGUUCAAAAGUGAAAGACGGUCUUGCUGUCACUUAUAGAUGGAUCCGCGCUGCAUUAGCUAGUUGGUAAGUUAACGGCUUACCAAGGCAACGAUGCAUAGCCGACCUGAGAGGGUGAUCGGCCACACUGGAACUGAGACACGGUCCAGACUCCUACGGGAGGCAGCAGUAGGGAAUCUUCCGCAAUGGGCGAAAGCCUGACGGAGCAACGCCGCGUGAGUGAUGAAGGUCUUCGGAUCGUAAAACUCUGUUAUUAGGGAAGAACAUAUGUGUAAGUAACUGUGCACAUCUUGACGGUACCUAAUCAGAAAGCCACGGCUAACUACGUG
rnacentral:rRNA from 1 species